rnacentral:rRNA from 1 species
GACGGUGAGGGACGAAAGCUGGGGGAGCAAACCGGAUUAGAUACCCGGGUAGUCCCAGCUGUAAACGAUGCAAACUCGAUGAUGCGUUGGCUUAUUGCUAGCGCAGUGUCGCAGGGAAGCCGUUAAGUUUGCCGCCUGGGAAGUACGUACGCAAGUAUGAAACUUAAAGGAAUUGGCGGGGGAGCACCACAAGGGGUGAAGCCUGCGGUUCAAUUGGAGUCAACGCCUGAAACCUUACCCGGAGAGACAGCAGAAUGAAGGUCAAGCUGAAGACUUUACCAGACAAGCUGAGAGGUGGUGCAUGGCCGUCGCCAGCUCGUGCCGUGAGAUGUCCUGUUAAGUCAGGUAACGAGCGAGAUCCCUGCCUCUAGUUGCCACUAUUACACCCUGGUGUAGUAGGGCGAAUUAGGGGGACCGCCGCAGUUAAUGCGGAGGAAGGAAGGGGCCACGGCAGGUCAGUAUGCCCCGAAACUCUGGGGCCACACGCGGGCUGCAAUGGUAGCGACAAUUGGUUUCGAAUCCGAAAGGAUGAGGUAAUCCUCAAACGUUACCACAGUUAUGACUGAGGGCUGCAACUCGCCCUCACGAAUAUGGAAUCCCUAGUAACUGCGUGUCAUUAUCGCGCGGUGAAUACGUCCCUGCUCCUUGCACACACCGCCCGU